rnacentral:rRNA from 1 species
GGGGAUGUGCUCGCGGCCUAUCAGCUUGUUGGUGGGGUAAUGGCCUACCAAGGCUUCGACGGGUAGCCGGCCUGAGAGGGUGACCGGCCACACUGGGACUGAGACACGGCCCAGACUCCUACGGGAGGCAGCAGUGGGAAUAUUGGACAAUGGGCGGAAGCCUGAUCCAGCAACGCCGCGUGAGGGAUGACGGCCUUCGGGUUGUAAACCUCUUUCAGUACCGACGAAGCGCCGAUGAUGGUGGUGACGGUAGGUACAGAAGAAGCACCGGCCAACUACGUA